GCAGAUCGUACUCAUUAGCCGUGUACUCAUCUUUGAGUUUCCACCAGUUUUUUCCUCUUGUCUCCUGCAUACGUUCUACAGGCAGCAGGAGCCCAUGACUAGACUGGCCAUUCUGUAAGGGUGUGCCUACAGACAAUGCUUGUUAGCAGGCUGCUUCCAUCGGGAUCUUAACAACUUUUACAGGCACCACAGCUAAACGUACUGAAUGGAAGUCCAAAAUAAUUGCUCGUCUUCAGCCACAUUUGACGUUUCUGCGAAAUGCAGAUUUGUAGUUGGCAAUCUGAAGGAAGAGGGAGAAACUGAGGACUGCAGAUGCUGGAGAUCAGAGCUGAAAAUGUGUUGCUGGAAAAGCGCAGCAGGUCAGGCAGCAUCCAAGGAGCAGGAGAAUCGAUGUUUCGGGCAUGAGCCCUUCUUCAGGAAUGUAUUUUAAGGAACACCCACCUAACCCAACAACAUGGUUUUUAGGCCCUCACAGAACCAAUCAUCAUAGAUCUGAAACAAUGUCCCAGCAAAAAAUCCUAUUUGCACAUGUAGCUUGUUUGAACUCUCUUUUGCAAAUGAGAUAAGCAUUAGUGCGUCCUGUCUACAAGAUGUACUGCACUAAUCCAUCAAGCCUCCUUAGACCUUCCAAACCCAGGACCACUACCAUCUAGAAGCACAAGGACAGCAGAUACUGGGGAAUACCACCAACUGCAAACUCCUUUCUAAGUCAUACACCAUCCUAACUUGGAAUCAUUUCUGUUCCUUUGUAGAGAUUGGAUCAAAUCCUUGAAGUUCCAUACUAACAGCACUUUGAUGGAUCUACACCAGUUGAACUGCAGUGGUUCAGGAAGGUAGCUCACCACCACCUUCUCUAAAGCAAUUCAGAAUGAGCAAUAAACAUUGAUUUAGCCAGUGACGCCUACAUCCCAUGAAUUAAUGAGACAAAUAUCCUUCUGAGCAGUUGUAAUGAAGCAACAAACCAGUUAUGUUGCUAUCUUUAGAUGGAUGUAUGCCUGGAUGCUAAGUCACAUGUCCAUUGCUCUCCUACCUACAACUUCUCCUUUUCCCUCAUUGGUUGCUGACCUUCCAACUGCUUGGUGUACUGCCUUCUCGUGGCCCUUCAGAAAGCAUACAAACACUUCAUCACCUGACUGGGUGAUUCCUGACUGUCAGCUACAGAGCCUAUUUUCCUGUCACUAAUAUUUGUACAACUCAAAUAAAUUGAGGUUUCCAAAGAAAAUUUUUAAAAGACGUUGUUGAUACCCCUAUGAAUUUUCUCAAGGGUUGAUCACAGCCGUGUUCCAAAGAUUAAUGUUCAAACCUUGGUAAACUACAGAAUAAUUCUGAACAGCUCCAGCCUAAUUUCCAUUUUGAACUUUUCCCUUCAAGCGAAAGGCUUCCAUUAGUUGCUCCCAUUGCACUCUGAUUUCCCACUAUAUUUGAUCUCUUUGCUCAACCAGGUACACUUGUUGAUCUGUUUGGUUGGGGGAAAAACACAGUCAAGGAAUUAACUGGAGAACUUCCAAUGGUUCAGAUAUCCCUGGGAUCUCGCCAAUGCACUUCAGUGAACAUUUUAUUUAUUAGCAUCUGUUUAGCGUCCCCUCCCAAACCAUUCUUCUGACCUUUUUGUG